CCUACGGGUGGCAGCAGUGAGGAAUAUUGGUCAAUGGACGCAAGUCUGAACCAGCCAUGCCGCGUGCAGGAAGACGGCUCUAUGAGUUGUAAACUGCUUUUGUACGAGGGUAAACGCAGAUACGCGUAUCUGUCUGCAAGUAUCGUCUGAAUAAGGAUCGGCUAACUCCUUGCCAGCAGCCGCGGUAAUACGGAGGAUUCAAGCGUUAUCCGGAUUUAUUGGGGGUAAAGGGUGCGUAGGCGGUCGGAUAAGUUAGAGGUGAAAUCCCGAGGCUCAACUUCGGAAUUGCCUCUGAUACUGUUCGGCUAGAGAGUAGUUGCGGUAGGCGGAAUGUAUGGUGUAGCGGUGAAAUGCUUAGAGAUCAUACAGAACACCGAUUGCGAAGGCAGCUUACCAAGCUACUUCUGACGUUGAGGCACGAAAGCGUGGGGAGCAAACAGGAUUAGAUACCCGUGUAGUC
rnacentral:rRNA from 1 species